GACGAACGCUGGCGGCGUGCUUAACACAUGCAAGUCGAACGGAAAGGCCCUGCUUUUGUGGGGUGCUCGAGUGGCGAACGGGUGAGUAACACGUGAGUAACCUGCCCUUGACUUUGGGAUAACUUCAGGAAACUGGGGCUAAUACCGGAUAGGAGCUCCUGCUGCAUGGUGGGGGUUGGAAAGUUUCGGCGGUUGGGGAUGGACUCGCGGCUUAUCAGCUUGUUGGUGGGGUAGUGGCUUACCAAGGCUUUGACGGGUAGCCGGCCUGAGAGGGUGACCGGCCACAUUGGGACUGAGAUACGGCCCAGACUCCUACGGGAGGCAGCAGAGGGGAAUAUUGCACAAUGGGCGGAAGCCUGAUGCAGCAACGCCGCGUGCGGGAUGACGGCCUUCGGGUUGUAAACCGCUUUCGCCUGUGACGAAGCGUGAGUGACGGGAAUGGGUAAAGAAGCACCGGCUAACUACGU
rnacentral:rRNA from 1 species